UUUCCGUAGGUGAACCUGCGGAAGGAUCAUUAUUGGAUUUUGAAGCUUCAGGCUGCUGCCGGCUCUCCUCGGAGGGCAUGUGCACGCUUGUUGUCCAUUAUUUCUCCCACUGUGCACAAAUUGUCGACCUUUCAGUAGGCCUAUGUUGUUUUUCACAAUCUCUGAAUGUAAUAGAAUGGUUUUGAAUCUUGGGAAAUACAAUACAACUUUCAGCAACGGAUCUCUUGGCUCUC
rnacentral:misc_RNA from 1 species